UUUAAUUAUCCUUUAAUGAGCUGUGCAGUAUAACAGAUUGGAUUAAACAGAUCAAUGGGCAGUGCUCUGGUAUUAUGAAGCACGACUGUCAUGGUAACUUCUUUUCUCUCAGUGCUGUUCGUCCUGGCACCCUGAAACUGCACACUUUCAGAAGUCUGUGCGAAUGAUGGUGGAACAAUCACACUAGACAAAAACAGAAAAACUCAGAUCGUAAAAGUUGUUCAGACAUUAGAAAUUCCUCAGACAUUAGAAAUGUUCCAUUCAGUUGCAAAGCCCCUUUAAGUAAUUUUAGGUUAAUUAGUUUCAAUGGAACAAAAUUUCGAGAGCUCUUUGGAGAGAAUGAUCUGCGCUGAGCGAGGGACCAGGUGAUGAGCUUCACAUUUCAGCUCCACGGCUGAUCGCGCUGGAUGACAGGACUGCUAUGAUCGAGGUCCGCGCUGUGAUACACACGCACACAGGAGACCCUUUCAGUUCUCCAGAAGGUCUGGAGCCCAGCCUGCUGCCCUCAACGCUCCAGGUUUCUCUCAGAUCCCUGUCCAGCCCAGCCUGGGGAGAGUCAUCCCUGCGUCUCUGUCCGCUACUGUUGGAGUCCCGCGCCAAGCUCAGCGUCCUCAGAGCACCAGGCCCAGUCUGCAGCUCCGCCUGACUGUUACAGUAGGUGCGAGUCUUCAUCAAGGUAAGGUCUCACUGAGACACUGGCAUAGAGCCCACUGUCUGCAGGGGGGACUCUUCUUUUCUUUGGGAUAAGAGCUUCCCCUAAUUCUGUGUUAUAAACCUGAUCUGCGCUAUUAGAAUGACAGCCAGAGCAAACUGCCCCUGCACUCCUUCAGACGUCCGCUCUGCACGUCUGCCAUUCUCUCCUGACCUCCAGGGCAGAAUUCAGCCCGUUCAAACUGACCUUUACUCUUUAAAGCACAGUCCGCCGCCCUGUGCUGUUAAUACUGCAGUGCAGGGUUGCAUCACUGUCACACAUGGAGGUCAGGGCCUGUAGACAGGAGCUAUAGAAGCCCAGAAGAUCAGGCAGCCAUGACCAACACAGGAGUAACCUCCUGGAUCAGGGACAUGCUAUUUUAAACUUAAAAAUGAGGAAUCCAUGUGUUGAUUUGGCAAUAACCGUGAGUUCCACAGACAAGUCAGAAUUCCAGCUUUUCUCCAUGACUCCAUGGUCCACUGCUCUUCCAGCACAGUGAGCUCCCACUGCCUUGGAGAUUUGGCAUUGAUUCCCAGGCAAUCCUAAAAUAAAUCCCAAGUAAAAUAAGUUUCAAUUUCUUUUUUGCCAUUUUAGUUACUGCUACAUUUACGCCUUGUAGGUGUUGCAGCUUUAGUUAAAUGCAGGUUUACAUUGGAUUGAGAUAAAGAAAUGGAGUUUAAAUGUGCCGGAGUUUGUGAAGUAUUCUUUUCCUCUCUCCCUGGCCAGGUCAAAGGGUUUACUUCUUUUAAUCCAAAAGAGUCCUGCUCUCCAAGCAGUUAUUUUAAUAUUUCAGUCACCUCUCUGCCAGGGGCAUCCCAUCUCCACCUAUAUGUACAGCUUGGCUGGAGAAAAAGGUCUCUGCAGCACAGCCCCAAAAUUUCACACAAGACCAAGCAUAUCACAGAGCAGGCACAAACGUGUCAGUAUCUGCAAGUUCGGCCUGGAGUAUCUCAAGGGGCAUAACACAGCUCUCACUGGGAAGGCUAGCUGAUUUAAACAAGAUUUGUAUCUCCUACACUGGCGCAUCUGAAGUCUUCUAAUUGUCCCUACACUGCAGCCAUAGAGCAAGAGCCCAGACCCCUGCCAGCCAGCCUUAUUUUGAAAUGACUUGUGAAAUUGUAUCCCCCUAAUUACCAGGGGCUACGUGCGAGAACAAGGAAAUGGCUCCAAACAUUCUGCAUUUAUACACAGUCCUGGUGCCAACGUCACCUCUCAUGCCUUAAUUCACACGUCAGCGGCGCCUCCGUCAGGGGCUGGUGAAGCUCUGCAGAGCUGGAGAAGAGUCUUGACAGGGUUCACACGGUCAGAGGAGCUGGAAAAGUGUGUGCUGGUCAGCCUCCUCUUCACCGAGGCGGUGAUUUCCUUGGAGAGCGAAGCAGCCAGACCCUCUGGCUGGGGUGGUCUCACUGGCAGUGGGGCCGCACUCCUCUCCCUGCUGGCACGUCCUGCACAGCUGACCAGUCUCUCUCUCCGGCCCCCUCCAAAGCCCUGAAGUGCAUCGCGAUCACAAGUUCUGUUCCUGAGUUUCCUGGCUGUGGUCGGACGUUCACACAGGAAAGGAAAUAAUCAGCGAAAUUUUGGAGAGAGGAAGCCUCUGGGGUGGCAGGACCUGACAGCUCUCUGCACAAGAAGGGCUCUUCGUCUUCCUCUUGUGUUGCUGAUUACAUCAGCCCAAACCCACACAGCGUAGGUCUUGAAGGAAUACAAACUCUCAGCUUUAUAAGCCUCUUUAAAACAUCAACAGAUGAAGAGGUUUCGAAAGGGUCAAGCUGGACCUGUGCUGUUUUAGUGAAGUUUCCAUUGAUUUAUUUGGUCUCUAGUUCAGGAUCAUUCACAUUAAUCAAUCAGUCUUACCAGUGUGCAGAGUCUAUUAGGCCUUCACCUUGUAGCUUUUCCUAGUUGCAGACACCCCACUUCAUCCUAUUAAGAGUUCAGUGCUGUAUCUGUGUGUGUAGAGGAGGGACUGGCUGGUGUCAGAGUUUAAUCUGGAUUGACAAUGAUAGUGAAGCAUUGAUUCCAGAUGAUCUGUGGUGAAGUCACCUCUGCUGCCCACAUCCUGUCUCCUGGGGGGGGUGCCACCGAGCACUGUGUCUCCACAUUCAUCCAGUCCCAUACAGCGAGUGCUCCAGCCUUAAAGGUAUUUCCAGGCUGCCCCUGUGGAGCUGUCAGGCCCCGUGAGAGAUUCCAGACGGCACCUCCUAAUGCGGAGAAAUAUUCUCUAAAGAUGUCCUCCUCCUCAAAUUCCUUCCACAGCCACCAGGUUCUGAGGAAAGAGGAGAUGGCGAAGCAGCUCUUCUGCUGUCAGCUGCAAAUGUUGCCAAAAAUGUUUUAAUACAAGAAUUAGAACUACAGCCACAAAAACUGCACUUAAUGAAUCUUAGGAAUUUAAGCCAUGCUGCAGCAAGCCUUAAUAAACACCCAAAGACUUUGUGAAGGGCGCACCCUGCUGGUGGGAAGAACUGUAUGUAGAAACUAACUGUCGGCGAUCGGAUUCUCUCCACUUCACAAGGUGCUGCUGUAGUGAAAGGAAUUCUUAAGAAAACAAGUACUGCUUCCCUUCAAAAGACAGAGCAAGAACGUCUACAAAACACACAUUGAUUUGGCUAUAAAACUAAAUUAUGCAGCAUCGAGACUUAUUCAGCUGUGUCAGGAUAAAUACCUCUUGCGGGUUCUUCUGUUCACCUGGAGUUCGGCUCAGGUUGCUCUCUUAGCAGAGAACUCAACCACUCGAAAUGCCCUCUCCUUUCCUCCAGCAACAGGGGACGCAGGUCUGAGCUUCGCCAUAGAAAAGGUCCUCUCCUGAGUCCACACGAUCCCAGACUGCGACUUGGGGCUUGUCAUCUGAAAAACAUCAUCCCUUCAGCCUCCUUGCUGGUUGUGCAUGGAAUGCCCAAGCUGUAUUCCCAGGGUCGGCUGUGCUGAGGAAUGGGCCUGGGAGAGAGCUGUGAGCGAGAUGGGGCCUCCUCACCUCACCCACCUCUUUGCCUUCUCCGCUGACACUGCAGAGAGCCGUGGAGCACAGCUGACCGGCACACUGACAGCACCUGCUUCCUGCGCUCUGGGCACAGCGCGAGCAGGCACACCGACAGAGCCAGAUUCCCCCCACAGAAUCGACUGGCCUGGGUUGCAGUUUUCCGGGCCCGUGUGCCUGCUGGUGUCUGAGCCCCGCUGUGUGUGAGAGCAGGAGACUGGCCCUCUCAUCUCCUGUGGCUUUUUCUCUGGGAAUCCAGCUCUGGAGCACAAUGAGGAAUUAUCAGAAAUUACACUUCAGUGGUUUUUAAUCAGAACUGUUGGCUGGCCCCGCCCGCACGAUCUCCACGGCGGGAUGCGAGAGGUCGAGACCCUCGCUGUCCCUACAAGGCCUGGGGCAGGACUUCAGGACUCUCUCUUCAAGCAUCUGCUUGUAAAGACUUGGAAAGCACGUUCUGACCAACUUGAUCAAGUUGUUUCAAUUACUGUAGUAAUAAUUUACCAACCUUAAUCACUGCAGGCUAUUGGCAUCUUCUUGUCACUUGAUCUCUGAACUGCUGAACUGACCAACAAGGCAAACUCACUGAUGAGCCUGACAGGACCUGCCUCGCUGUGGCUGCUCAGGACCAGGGAUGUCCCCCCCCCAGACCACAUCCUGCUAGACGGGCAGGGGUGUACAAACGCUGCUCUCACUCUCGGACACCUGCCGUAAAGUAGUCUGACCUUUCAGAGCUGAGCAGCGGUGGGGACACACGGCUUCAUGGUCAGGCCAGUCGCAGUGGGUGUCCAUUCCACCCAUGAUCCAGGUCCUAGCUUUUCGGCAUUGCAGUCAGCCAGCCCUGAGGAGGUUUAGACAGCCUGCAUGGCAAGUCCUUGUUCUAGCUGGCCACUGAUUAUAUAAUGGACCAUCGGCAGCUAUGCCAGUUAGACCAGUAAAGUCCUGCUUGCACGGCAGAGCCAAGCCCAGUCUUACACUCUGGCUCCCUGCCCCUGCUCGGGGAGAGCAAGGCGGAGUCUCGCUGACCGCAGGGUCCCUUCAUUAAUGAGCCGUGCCCACAGCCCUUCAAGCCCAUCGGUUAAUCAGCGCCAGUCGGUGUGUGACAGCAGCAGUGCUCGUGCCCUGGGAGGACUAUAACUUUUAUGGGAAACCCUGUAAAAUCGCAAAGCUGGGUCGUGCUCGAUCCGGCUGGGCACACAGACUGCCGCGGGAACAGCAAGAUUAACGGGAGGGAGACGAGCCCAAAAGCCCACAGCCCUGCUGAUUCUAGAGAGACAGAGCACAACUUGAUGAUAAAAACUGAAGUUAUGGGGUCUCACAGCAGAUCAGCUCAGAGCACAGGUUAGGCCCCGUGGCACAGACGGCGCUGGCUCAGGUCUUGUCGCCAGCCAGCUGUGACCAGAGCUCCCCAAACGGUGACACAUUUCGGCAAAAGAGGGCCGUGUGCGAGAACGGCUCUGCUGUGUGGGUGUGUGAGCAGCCUGUCCUUCUCCAUGUGCAAUAGGAGAGUCAAAGUCAUGAGCCAAGUCUACCAACUCAGUCCAUCCGUUCAUCUCCUAAGUGCUUUAUCCAAUACAGGGUCGUCCUAGGAAACAAUGGAAGGAACCACUGGACGGACGGACGGACGUUUUCCCAGAAGCCAAUUAACCGACCAGUAUGUCUUUGGACCGUCAAAGGAAACUGAAGCAGCUAGAGGAAACUUACGUGCAUAGGAGGAGAACAUGCAAACUCCACCCAGACAGCAUCCCAGCAACUGAACCCAGGGCCCCGGCGCUGAGCGGCAGAAGGGCUCACCACUUCACGGCCAUGCCUCCCUGCACCAAGUCCAGAGUGAACGUGACCUGUGAUGCUGAGUUCAGUGGAAAAUUAACAUAAUGAAAAUGAGGCUUUUUCCUCUGAAAGAUCAAUCUUAUUGAAGUGAAACUAAACAUCUAUGAACUGGCUUCAUCACUCUGUUCUCCUCCCCACUGAGAGCUGAUGUGUGGGGAGCAGACUGGU